CCAGGAUGAACGCUAGCUACAGGCUUAACACAUGCAAGUCGAGGGGCAGCAUGGUCUUAGCUUGCUAAGGCCGAUGGCGACCGGCGCACGGGUGAGUAACACGUAUCCAACCUGCCGUCUACUCUUGGACAGCCUUCUGAAAGGAAGAUUAAUACAAGAUGGCAUCAUGAGUCCGCAUGUUCACAUGAUUAAAGGUAUUCCGGUAGACGAUGGGGAUGCGUUCCAUUAGAUAGUAGGCGGGGUAACGGCCCACCUAGUCUUCGAUGGAUAGGGGUUCUGAGAGGAAGGUCCCCCACAUUGGAACUGAGACACGGUCCAAACUCCUACGGGAGGCAGCAGUGAGGAAUAUUGGUCAAUGGGCGAGAGCCUGAACCAGCCAAGUAGCGUGAAGGAUGACUGCCCUAUGGGUUGUAAACUUCUUUUAUAAAGGAAUAAAGUCGGGUAUGGAUACCCGUUUGCAUGUACUUUAUGAAUAAGGAUCGGCUAACUCCGUGCCAGCAGCCGCGGUAAUACGGAGGAUCCGAGCGUUAUCCGGAUUUAUUGGGUUUAAAGGGAGCGUAGAUGGAUGUUUAAGUCAGUUGUGAAAGUUUGCGGCUCAACCGUAAAAUUGCAGUUGAUACUGGAUAUCUUGAGUGCAGUUGAGGCAGGCGGAAUUCGUGGUGUAGCGGUGAAAUGCUUAGAUAUCACGAAGAACUCCGAUUGCGAAGGCAGCCUGCUAAGCUGCAACUGACAUUGAGGCUCGAAAGUGUGGGUAUCAACAGGAUA
rnacentral:rRNA from 2 species